rnacentral:rRNA from 1 species
AUUGAACGCUGGCGGCAUGCUUUACACAUGCAAGUCGAACGGUAACAGGGUGCUUGCACCGCUGACGAGUGGCGAACGGGUGAGUAAUGCGUCGGAACGUGCCGAGUAGUGGGGGAUAACGCAGAGAAAGUUGUGCUAAUACCGCAUACGUACUGAGGUAGAAAGUGGGGGACCUUCGGGCCUCACGCUAUUCGCGCGGCCGCCGUCUGAUUAGCUAGUAGGUGAGGGAAAGGCUCACCUAGGCGACGCUCAGUAGCGGGUCUGAGAUGAUGAUCCGCCACACUGGGAACUGAGACACGGCCCAGACUCCUACGGGAGGCGGCAGUGGGGAAUUUUGGACAAUGGGCGAAAGCCUGAUCCAGCCAUGCCGCGUGUCUGAAGAAGGCCUUCGGGUUGUAAAGGACUUUUGUCAGGGAGGAAAUCCCUAGUGCUAAUAACACUGGGGGAUGACAGUACCUGAAGAAUAAGCACCGGCUAACUACGUGCCAGCAGCCGCCGUAA